GGUUAUGGCUCAGUGGUAGAGUGCUUGCCUUGCACAUGCAAGACCCUGGGUUCAAUCCUCAGCACCA
rnacentral:tRNA from 1 species